rnacentral:rRNA from 1 species
CAGUCGCCGCGGGAAUACGAAGGGGGCUAGCGUUGUUCGGAUUUACUGGGCGUAAAGCGCACGUAGGCGGAUCGAUCAGUCAGGGGUGAAAUCCCAGAGCUCAACUCUGGAACUGCCUUUGAUACUGUCGAUCUGGAGUAUGGAAGAGGUGAGUGGAAUUCCGAGUGUAGAGGUGAAAUUCGUAGAUAUUCGGAGGAACACCAGUGGCGAAGGCGGCUCACUGGUCCAUUACUGACGCUGAGGUGCGAAAGCGUGGGGAGCAAACAGGAUUAGAUACCCCAGUAGUCCCUGUCUCUUAUAU